GACGAACGCUGGCGGCGUGCUUAACACAUGCAAGUCGAACGGUAAGGCCCUUCGGGGUACACGAGUGGCGAACGGGUGAGUAACACGUGGGUGAUCUGCCCUGCACUUCGGGAUAAGCCUGGGAAACUGGGUCUAAUACCGGAUAGGACCACUGCCUGCAUGGGUGGUGGUGGAAAGCUUUUGCGGUGGGGGAUGGGCCCGCGGCCUAUCAGCUUGUUGGUGGGGUGAUGGCCUACCAAGGCGACGACGGGUAGCCGGCCUGAGAGGGGGACCGGCCACACUGGGACUGGGAUACGGCCAAGACUCCUACGGGAGGCAGCAGUGGGGAAUAUUGCACAAUGGGCGCAAGCCUGAUGCAGCGACGCCGCGUGAGGGAUGACGGCCUUCGGGUUGUAAACCUCUUUCAGCGCCGACGAAGCGCAAGUGACGGUAGGUGCAGAAGAAGGACCGGCCAACUACGUGCCAGCCGCCGCGGUAA
rnacentral:rRNA from 1 species